rnacentral:rRNA from 1 species
GACGAACGCUGGCGGCGUGCUUAACACAUGCAAGUCGAACGGAAAGGCCCUGCUUUUGUGGGGUGCUCGAGUGGCGAACGGGUGAGUAACACGUGAGUAACCUGCCCUUGACUUUGGGAUAACUUCAGGAAACUGGGGCUAAUACCGGAUAGGAGCUCCUGCUGCAUGGUGGGGGUUGGAAAGUUUCGGCGGUUGGGGAUGGACUCGCGGCUUAUCAGCUGGUUGGUGGGGUAGUUGCUUACCAAGGCUUUGACGGGUAGCCGGCCUGAGAGGGUGACCGGCGACAUUGGGACUGAGAUACGGCGCAGACUCCUACGGGAGGCAGCAGUGGGGAAUAUUGCACAAUGGGCGGAAGCCUGAUGCAGCAACGCCGCGUGCGGGAUGAAGGCCUUCGGGUUGUAAACCGCUUUCGCCUGUGACGAAGCGUGAGUGACGGUAAUGGGUAAAGAAGCACCGGCUAACUACGUG